UUGGUGCCGUGACCCUUCUCGCAAAAGGAGAAGAAAGACGACAACAUUUGGUUAUCGUGACCCGACCGCAAGAGGAGAGGCAAGACGAGAACAUCCAACGGGUUCAAAGAGACUUCGGGGGCAGAUUUUGGAUUUUGAACAUCUGUAAGAAGAGUCCAUCUUGGCACCCUGAUUGACGUGACUGAAUCCCAGCUGGAAGCCUGCCAAGAGGGGAAACACUGCUGCACUGCGCACCCUGCAUGCAGUGAAGACAUUCUGACCAGGUUGCCGGGAGCCACAGACAACAUCUGGGACAGAGACUUUGCCUUUGAACUGAACUGUUGCUGGCCGGUUUCCUGAACUUCCAAAAGACUUUGUUUUCCUUUUCUUUUAACUCUUAGAAUGUGAGAUAAUCAUCA